CAGCCGCCACGGUAAAACGGAGGGUGCAAGCGUUAUCCGGAUUUAUUGGGUUUAAAGGGUCCGUAGGCGGAUCUGUAAGUCAGUGGUGAAAUCUCACAGCUUAACUGUGAAACUGCCAUUGAUACUGCAGGUCUUGAGUAAAUUUGAAGUGGCUGGAAUAAGUAGUGUAGCGGUGAAAUGCAUAGAUAUUACUUAGAACACCAAUUGCGAAGGCAGGUCACUAAGAUUUAACUGACGCUGAUGGACGAAAGCGUGGGGAGCGAACAGGAUUAGAUACCCGAGUAGUCCCUGUCUCUUAUAA
rnacentral:rRNA from 1 species